CACGUAGGGCGCAAGCGUUGUCCGGAAUUAUUGGGCGUAAAGAGCUCGUAGGCGGUCUGUUGCGUCUGCUGUGAAAACCCGGGGCUUAACCCCUGGCUUGCAGUGGAUACGGACAGACUAGAGGUAGGUAGGGGAGAAUGGAAUUCCCGGUGUAGCGGUGAAAUGCGCAGAUAUCGGGAAGAACACCCGUGGCGAAGGCGGUUCUCUGGGACGGUACUGGACGCUGAGACGCGAAAGCGUGGGGAGCGAACAGG
rnacentral:rRNA from 1 species